AACGGGUGAGUAACACGUGGGCAAUCUGCCCUUCACUCUGGGACAAGCCCUGGAAACGGGGUCUAAUACCGGAUAAUACUCUGUCCCGCAUGGGACGGGGUUGAAAGCUCCGGCGGUGAAGGAUGAGCCCGCGGCCUAUCAGCUUGUUGGUGGGGUAAUGGCCUACCAAGGCGACGACGGGUAGCCGGCCUGAGAGGGCGACCGGCCACACUGGGACUGAGACACGGCCCAGACUCCUACGGGAGGCAGCAGUGGGGAAUAUUGCACAAUGGGCGAAAGCCUGAUGCAGCGACGCCGCGUGAGGGAUGACGGCCUUCGGGUUGUAAACCUCUUUCAGCAGGGAAGAAGCGAAAGUGACGGUACCUGCAGAAGAAGCGCCGGCUAACUACGUGCCAGCAGCCGCGGUAAUACGUAGGGCGCAAGCGUUGUCCGGAAUUAUUGGGCGUAAAGAGCUCGUAGGCGGCUUGUCACGUCGGAUGUGAAAGCCCGGGGCUUAACCCCGGGUCUGCAUUCGAUACGGGCUAGCUAGAGUGUGGUAGGGGAGAUCGGAAUUCCUGGUGUAGCGGUGAAAUGCGCAGAUAUCAGGAGGAACACCGGUGGCGAAGGCGGAUCUCUGGGCCAUUACUGACGCUGAGGAGCGAAAGCGUGGGGAGCGAACAGGAUUAGAUACCCUGGUAGUCCACGCCGUAAACGUUGGGAACUAGGUGUUGGCGACAUUCCACGUCGUCGGUGCCGCAGCUAACGCAUUAA
rnacentral:rRNA from 1 species